GAUGAACGCUGGCGGCGUGCCUAAUACAUGCGAGUCGAGCGAACGGACGAGAAGCUUGCUUCUCUGAUGUUAGCGGCGGACGGGUGAGUAACACGUGGAUAACCUACCUAUAAGACUGGGAUAACUUCGGGAAACCGGAGCUAAUACCUGAUAAUAUUUUGAACCGCAUGGUUCAAAAGUGAAAGACGGUCUUGCUGUCACUUAUAGAUGGAUCCGCGCUGCAUUAGCUAGUUGGUAAGGUAACGGCUUACCAAGGCAACGAUGCAUAGCCGACCUGAGAGGGUGAUCGGCCACACUGGAACUGAGACACGGUCCAGACUCCUACGGGAGGCAGCAGUAGGGAAUCUUCCGCAAUGGGCGAAAGCCUGACGGAGCAACGCCGCGUGAGUGAUGAAGGUCUUCGGAUCGUAAAACUCUGUUAUUAGGGAAGAACAUAUGUGUAAGUAACUGUGCACAUCUUGACGGUACCUAAUCAGAAAGCCACGGCUAACUACGUG
rnacentral:rRNA from 1 species